rnacentral:rRNA from 1 species
GUGGGGAAUCUUCCGCAAUGGACGAAAGUCUGACGGAGCGACGCCGCGUGAGUGAUGAAGGCCUUCGGGUCGUAAAGCUCUGUCAUCGGGGACGAAUGGUCGUUGGAGUGGAAAGCCAGCGAAAUGACGGUACCCGAGAAGGAAGCCACGGCUAACUACGUGCCAGCAGCCGCGGUAAUACGUAGGUGGCAAGCGUUGUCCGGAAUUAUUGGGCGUAAAGCGCGCGCAGGUGGGAUCUUAAGUCCAUUUUGAAAGUUCGGAGCUCAACUCCGUGAUGGGAUGGAAACUGGGAUUCUUGAGUACCGGAGAGGAAAGCGGAAUUCCAAGUGUAGCGGUGAAAUGCGUAGAGAUUUGGAAGAACACCAGUGGCGAAGGCGACUUUCUGGACGAUGUCUGACGCUGAGGCGCGAAAGCUAGGGGAGCGAACGGGAUUAGAUACCCGUGUAGUCC